UGGCUCAGUUGGUAGAGCAUUGUGUUUGCAAUGCCAGGGUUGUGGGUUCAAUUCCCAC
rnacentral:tRNA from 1 species